rnacentral:rRNA from 1 species
AGAGUUUGAUCUUGGCUCAGAACGAACGUUAGCGGUGUGGAUUAGGCAUGCAAGUCGUGCGCGAAAGCCUUCGGGCGAGUAGAGCGGCGAAAGGGCGAGUAACACGUAACCAACGUACCCCGCAGAUCGGAAUAGCCAUCGGAAACGAUGGGUAAUGCCGAAUGGUCCCAGUAGGUGGCAUCACCAUCUGGGUAAACGGAUUUAUCUGCUGCGGGAGCGGGUUGCAGGCUAUCAGCUAGUUGGUGAGGUAACGGCUCACCAAGGCUAUGACGGCUAGCCGGUCUGAGAGGAUGGUCGGUCACACUGGGACUGAGACACUGCCCAGACUCCUACGGGAGGCUGCAGUCGAGAAUCUUCCGCAAUGGGCGAAAGCCUGACGGAGCGACACCGCGUGCAGGAUGAAGGCCUUAGGGUCGUAAACUGCUGUCACGCUAUAGGAACGCAUUUUAUUAUGCCUGACCAAAGCGAGAGGAAGCACCGGCUAACUCCGUGCCAGCAGCCGCGGUAAUACGGAGGGUGCAAACGUUGUUCGGAAUUACUGGGCAUAAAGGGCUCGUAGGCGGUCCACUAAGUCAGGUGUGAAAUCCCCCGGCUCAACCGGGGAACUGCACUUGAUACUGGUGGACUAGAGUAUGGUUGGGGUGAGCGGAACUCCUGGUGGAGCGGUGAAAUGCGUAGAUAUCAGGAGGAACACCGGUGGCGAAAGCGGCUCACUGGACCAUUACUGACGCUGAGGAGCGAAAGCUAGGGGAGCAAACGGGAUUAGAUACCCCGGUAGUCCUAGCCGUAAACGAUGUGCACUAGGCAGGGGAGGCACCUAUGGCCCUCUCUGCCGUAGCUAAUGUGUUAAGUGCACCGCCUGGGGAGUACGCUCGCAAGAGUAAAACUCAAAGGAAUUGACGGGGGAUCACACAAGCGGUGGAGCAUGUGGUUUAAUUCGAAGCAACGCGAAGAACCUUACCUGGCCUUGACAUGUACGGAUUAGUCCUGUGAAAGCAGGGUGACAGCCCUUCGGGGUUGGAACGUACACAGGUGUUGCAUGGCUGUCGUCAGCUCGUGUCGUGAGAUGUUGGGUUAAGUCCCGUAACGAGCGAAACCCUUAUCGUUAGUUGCCAGCGCGUAAUGGCGGGGACUCUAGCGAGACUGCCGUUGUUAAGACGGAGGAAGGUGGGGACGACGUCAAGUCAUCAUGGCCCUUAUGGCCAGGGCUACACACGUGCUACAAUGGUUUGUACAAAGGGUUCCGAGCCCGCAAGGUGGAGGCAAUCCCAGAAAGCAAACCCCAGUUCGGAUUGCAGGCUGAAAUUCGCCUGCAUGAAGUUGGAAUCGCUAGUAAUCGCGUAUCAGCCAUGACGCGGUGAAUAUGUUCCUGAUCCUUGUACACACCGCCCGUCAAGCCACGAAAGCGGGGAGCGCUCGAAGUCGCUUUGUCUAACCUUCGGGAGGACAGCGCCGAAAGCGAGUUCCGUGAUUGGGACUAAGUCGUAACAAGGUAACCGUA